AAUUUGCUGAUAGGUAACUUAGUGUAGUGUUUUUUUUAUAUUGGCGUUCAUACUGGUUGAGUAAAUGGCUACGAAGGACAACAUUUCCCCACCUCGACUGCCAUGAGAAGAAACGUUACUUUGAAAAAAUAGCAUCGUUAGGCUGUGAUCCCUACUCAUUACCUGAGGCGGUCUUCCAGCCUCUGUCCGCUGCUACCGAGCUAGCUGCUACCACUGUCAUUUAACGAUAUGUAUACCUAAUUCAUAAUCCGUCGCCGUACACUGGUGAAAGCCUCAAAGCAUACAAGAGUACCGAGGCAUAUCGGUACUUUGUCGCAGGCUGGGUCCUUGACCCGAAAAUCUGGCACCUUAACAAGAAGAAGAUGUUCCUCGUGAAAGGAAAGAUGGGGAAAUGUGAGUGAGCCAACAGCAAGAACACAGUUCACAGCAUUGCAAGAUCAUCACCACACCGAUUUUCAAGUAGAGACAACAGGCCUGAUCAUCAGCACAUCACUGCCAUGGAUCGGUGCAUCGCCGGAUGGAAUUGUGACCUGUGCUUGCCACGGUAGAGGUGUGCUUGAAAUAAAAUGCCCUUUUAGUCUUAAA